rnacentral:rRNA from 1 species
UACAUGGGGUGCAAACGUUGCUCGGAAUUAUUGGGCGUAAAGCGCGCGUAGGCGGUUACUUAAGUCGGAUGUGAAAGCCCUCGGCUUAACUGAGGAAGUGCACCCGAAACUGAGUAGCUAGAGUACUAAAGAGGGUCGCGGAAUUCCCGGUGUAGAGGUGAAAUUCGUAGAUAUCGGGAGGAACACCGGUGGCGAAGGCGGCGACCUGGGUAGAGACUGACGCUGAGGCGCGAAAGCGUGGGGAGCAAACAGG